AGGGGCCCCUGUAAAGUAUGCUGGGCAAUCUGGUGGUUGCACCAGAGGAGAAAACGGAACACUAUAACCAAUUCUUCAUGUCCGUUUUCCUGUGCAGGGACCGGGACUCCCCUGCUGUGAUGCCAGAUGGACUCGAGGGGAAUGCCUACAUACCUCAGG